rnacentral:lncRNA from 1 species
CUUCGGCACACUGGGGGAUGCGGUUUCCCUUGCCACAAUAUUUUAAAACCUCACUCUCCUCGUGAUAAUGAACAGCCAUCUAAUAUAUUGCUCAUAAAAAUUUUUUCUCUUUACUUCUGUCAUCAUCAUAUACAUACUAUAUAGACUUUAUUUCAUCUUAGCAGCUAGCAUUUAUAUAGGUCAUUAAGGCUUGCAAAGCACUUUUACACAUGUUAUCUCAUUUGAUCCUCAUGACAUUCUUAUUAGGUAAGCAGCAUUAUUAUUCCCCUUUUACAGAUGAAGAAACUGAGACAGAGAAUAGUAAAGUGACUUCCAGAGCCACGAAACAGUUGAGUCUUCAAACAGAAAUUCAAAUUAAAUUUAAAUGAGACAAUCUGAUUUCUCUGACCUGAGAGAGUAUUCACAAAUAUGAAAGAGAUGGCCCAGCAGCUCAGUUUUUCUGGAAUAGAACAGACAACAUUCAGCCAGAGAUACUGAUGAAAUGGAGGAUUACAAAGGUUUUGGACAUGCACCAUUUAGUUGGGUAACAUAUGUUUGCUAGUCUAUCCUAUCACUCACAUAGUAAGUCUUCUCUUCCAAUAUUGCCAUGUAGACAAGGCAAUUUCAAAUUGCAAUGAUUAUUCUUAGCAAAUCCAGAGAUCACCAUAAAUGUACUCACCUGGCAGACUAGACAGCAAGGUGGACUUGGAAGAACUGGGUUAAAAUUCUGCAACCAAGUAUUAUAAACUGAGGAAAAUUAAUGUUGAAUUAUAAUAUUUUUGCAUGAAACCCCUUUCUUAAUCCUCAGGGUUUAAAGGUCAGCUUGCUUCCAAACUAAAUGAAUUUACACUCAAGCCUCAAGGCAUCUCCCUGGGUUAAAUCCUUUUGUCUUUUAUUAGAGGCAUGAUGGAGACCUGGUCCUUAUUUAUCUAUAAACAAGAACUCUCUUCAAUAAGGGAAGUCCAUAAACUCUAGCAAUUAAACUUUGACCCAUUGAGAAGUAAGAUGAUUCAGUUGCUGGGGAAAGUUUGUUCUGGUGUCUUUCUUUAAUGGACAAAGACCCAGCUCCCCAUGAUGAUGUAAUGAGGGAAAACUUGAGGUCUCCAAGUCCACCAUCUUUUUUUGAAAUAUACACCAAUGGGAACUGUCAUGAGAGGACCUAAAGUUGAGCUAUCAGGCCAUUCAGAAAGAGGCUAUAACUGCCUUUAGAAGCAAGAGACAAGACUCAUUUUUUUCUCUUUUUCAUGAAAAGAAGUUAGUGGAAAGAUCCAUUCUUUGUUAAUGGGAAUUACAUGCCACACAAAUUAAUAAACAAUAUUAUUCUUCAGAAUUGGCCUCA